rfam:Roseovarius nanhaiticus strain DSM 29590 genome assembly, contig: Ga0104494_103
UAGGUUUGCAAAUCCUGUACGCCUGCCUAUAUUCAUAAUGUCCCUUCGGGGACUAUGGACAUAAACGCGCUCGUAAUAAGCGGAUCGGACCCGGGGGCGGUACCCGGCGACUCCACCAAUCACCCUUCAUUUGGGGGCGGAUCGGGGUCGAAACAGGAUCGACGAACGUCUAAAGGGGUUAUGCUUUGUCUCGGCGGGGUGCCACCGUAUCGGCCCGAACAGUACAAUUGCAAAUGACAAUCGUGCUCCGGUUGCUCUGGCCGCGUAAGCGGUUCGAGGAAUCGAAACCUAAGUCCUUGCGCCUAGCAGCGUAAGGCGGGGUCCGCAGGCACCUGGCAACAGAAGCCUGCACU